rnacentral:rRNA from 1 species
CCUACGGGAGGCAGCAGUGGGGAAUAUUGCGCAAUGGGCGAAAGCCUGACGCAGCGACGCCGCGUGAGGGAUGAAGGUCUUCGGAUCGUAAACCUCUGUCAGCAGGGAAGAACGGUCACUGUGCUAAUCAGCAGUGAAUUGACGGUACCUGCAAAGGAAGCACCGGCUAACUCCGUGCCAGCAGCCGCGGUAAUACGGAGGGUGCGAGCGUUAAUCGGAAUUACUGGGCGUAAAGCGCUCGUAGGCGGUAUGGCAAGUCAAGGGUGAAAUCCCCGCGCUCAACGUGGGAACUGCCUUUGAAACUGGCAGACUGGAGUGUGUGAGAGGAUAGUGGAAUUCCAGGUGUAGGAGUGAAAUCCGUAGAUAUCUGGAGGAACAUCAGUGGCGAAGGCGACUAUCUGGCACAUAACUGACGCUGAGGAGCGAAAGCGUGGGUAGCAAACAGGAUUAGAUACCCUAGUAGUC